rnacentral:lncRNA from 1 species
UUUUUAGAUUUUUAUUAACCAUUUUGAAACACAAGCCAAACUGUCAUGUUAGCUGAGUUAGGGCACUGGGCAACAAGACUGAUUGCCCUGAGAUGGAUCUCUGGGACCAACACCUCCAAGUUCUCUUCCGACCGCACACCUGCACCUCUCUGCCACUCCCUGUGCUGGUGCUGGUCAGGGGUUCAGUGAGAGAAGGUCUAGUUGCCAAGCAAUGACCACUGGAACUUGAUUCCUGGACCUCACAGGGUAGGCAAGGACAGACUCCUGAAGGUUCACCCCUGCUGUGGCACAGAGGUGUUCCCAUAAAUACAUACAAAAUAAAUGCAAUAACUUUUUAAUGUAAUGAAAUUAAAAAAUGAAGUCAGCUGGUACACAUCUUUAAUCCCAGUACUAAGGAGGCAGAUCUCUGAGAGUUCGAGAGCACCAUGGUCUACAAAGUUUCAAGACAGUGAAAGUUACACAAAAAUCCAAAAAAUAAAAAAUAAAUAAUGCAAGCCAGGUGUUUUCUAAUGGUGACUGUGGUUCCAGGGCAUCGGAGAUUCGGGCAGACUAAAUAUCAGAAUUCGAGGUUAUUGUAAGCAGUAAGAAUUAGGAAACCCAAUUUUUUCCCAGAAUGAAUUUGAUGCUGUGACUUAUCUCAGUAUGCUGUUUUAAGGGCUAUAAAAUAGCUUUUUCCCUAUCCCAAGACAGGGUUUCUGUGUAGCCCUGGCAUCCUUGAACUCAGAGAUCUGCCUGCCUCCCUGCCUCUCUGCCUCUUCAGUGCUGGGGCUAAAGGUGUUUACCACCACAGCCAGCUGUUUUUGUCAAAUUCUUUUUUUAAAGAUUAAUCUAUUAUGACUUAUUUAUUUUAUGUAUGUGAGUUCACUCUUCAGACACACCAGAAGAGGGCAUCAGAUCUCUUUACAGAUGGUUGUGAGCCACCAUGUGGUUGCUGGGAAUUGAACUCAGGACCUCUGGAAGAGCAGUCAGUGUUCUUAACCGCUGAGCAACUCCUUUUGUCAAAUUCUUUUUUUUUUUUUUUCUUUUUUCUUUUUUCUGGAACUGGGGACCGAACCCAGGGUCUUGCGCUUCCUAGGCAAGCGCUCUACCACUGAGCUAAAUCCCCAACCCCCUUUUGUCAAAUUCUUA